rnacentral:rRNA from 1 species
CCUACGGGAGGCAGCAGUGAGGAAUAUUGGUCAAUGGCCGAGAGGCUGAACCAGCCAAGUCGCGUGAGGGAAGACUGCCCUACGGGUUGUAAACCUCUUUUGUCGGGGAGCAAAGAGAGUCACGUGUGACUCUUUGAGAGUACCCUAAGAAAAAGCAUCGGCUAACUCCGUGCCAGCAGCCGCGGUAAUACGGAGGAUGCGAGCGUUAUCCGGAUUUAUUGGGUUUAAAGGGUGCGCAGGGGGGGGUGCAAGUCAGCGGUAAAAUUGGGGGGCUCAACCCCGUACUGCCGUUGAUACUGCAUGCCUUGAGUGCGCGAGAGGUAUGCGGAAUGCGUGGUGUAGCGGUGAAAUGCAUAGAUAUCACGAAGAACUCCGAUUGCGAAGGCAGCAUACCGGCGCGCAACUGACGCUCAUGCACGAAAGCGUGGGUAUCGAACAGGAUUAGAUACCCUGGUAGUC